CGCAGCGCCCCUUCAGCGAAGUGGGAGGAGGAACAGAAGGGGCUCCAUUUCUCCUCCCGCUUCGCUGAAGGGGCGCUGCA